GCCUGGGUGGCUCAGUUGGUUAAGCAUCUGACUUCAGCUCAGAUCAUGACCUCAGGAUCCUGGGAUUGAGCCCUGGGUCAGACUCCCAGCUGAGCA
rnacentral:tRNA from 1 species